GAUGAACGCUGGCGGCGUGCCUAAUACAUGCAAGUCGAGCGAACAGACGAUGAGCUUGCUCCUCUGACGUUAGCGGCGGACGGGUGAGUAACACGUGUAUAACCUACCUAUAAGACUGGGAUAACUUCGGGAAACCGGAUCUAAUACCGUAUAAUAUCUUGAACCGCAUUGUUCAAUAGUGAAAGACGGUUUUGCUGUCACUUAUAGAUGGAUCCGCGCCGCAUUAGCUAGUUGGGAAGGUAACGGCUUACCAAGGCAACGAUGCGUAGCCGACCUGAGAGGGGGAUAGGCCACACUGGAGCUGAGACACGGUCCAGACUCCUAAGGGAGGGCGCAGUAGGGAAUGGGAGGCAAUGGGCGAAAGCCUGACGGAGCAACGCCGCGUGAGAGAUGAAGGUCUUCGGAGCGUAAAGAUGUGUUAUUAGGGAAGAACAAAUGUGUCAGUAAAUAUGCACGUAUUGACGGUAACUAAUAAGAAAGCCACGGCUAACUACGUG
rnacentral:rRNA from 1 species